ACGAACGCUGGCGGCGUGCCUAAUACAUGCAAGUAGCACGCUGAAGGAGGAGCUUGCUCUUCUGGAUGAGUUGCGAACGGGUGAGUAACGCGUAGGUAACCUGCCUGGUAGCGGGGGAUAACUAUUGGAAACGAUAGCUAAUACCGCAUAACAGUAGAUGUUGCAUGACAUUUACUUAAAAGGUGCAAUUGCAUCACUACCAGAUGGACCUGCGUUGUAUUAGCUAGUUGGUGGGGUAACGGCUCACCAAGGCGACGAUACAUAGCCGACCUGAGAGGGUGAUCGGCCACACUGGGACUGAGACACGGCCCAGACUCCUACGGGAGGCAGCAGUAGGGAAUCUUCGGCAAUGGACGGAAGUCUGACCGAGCAACGCCGCGUGAGUGAAGAAGGUUUUCGGAUCGUAAAGCUCUGUUGUAAGAGAAGAACGAGUGUGAGAGUGGAAAGUUCACACUCUGACGGUAUCUUACCAGAAAGGGACGGCUAACUACGUG
rnacentral:rRNA from 1 species